rnacentral:rRNA from 1 species
AACGAACGCUGGCGGCAGGCCUAACACAUGCAAGUCGAACGAACUCUUCGGAGUGAGUGGCGCACGGGUGCGUAACGCGUGGGAAUAUACCCUUGGGUACGGAACAACGUCUGGAAACGGACGCUAAUACCGUAUAAUGACUUCGGUCCAAAGAUUCAUCGCCCAAGGAUUAGCCCGCGUUAGAUUAGAUAGUUGGUGAGGUAAUGGCUCACCAAGUCGACGAUCUAUAGGGGGUCUGAGAGGAUGAUCCCCCACACUGGGACUGAGACACGGCCCAGACUCCUACGGGAGGCAGCAGUGAGGAAUAUUGGACAAUGGAGGAAACUCUGAUCCAGCCAUGCCGCGUGAGUGAAGACGGCCUUAGGGUUGUAAAGCUCUUUCAGAUGUGAAGAUAAUGACGGUAGCAUCAGAAGAAGCCCCGGCUAAAUUCG